AUUGAACGCUGGCGGCAUGCUUUACACAUGCAAGUCGAACGGCAGCACGGGUGCUUGCACCUGGUGGCGAGUGGCGGACGGGUGAGUAAUACAUCGGAACGUGUCCAGAAGAGGGGGAUAACGCAUCGAAAGAUGUGCUAAUACCGCAUAUGCUCUGAGGAGGAAAGUAGGGGAUCGAAAGACCUUACGCUUUUGGAGCGGCCGAUGUCUGAUUAGCUAGUUGGUGGGGUAAGGGCCUACCAAGGCGACGAUCAGUAGUUGGUCUGAGAGGACGACCAGCCACACUGGGACUGAGACACGGCCCAGACUCCUACGGGAGGCAGCAGUGGGGAAUUUUGGACAAUGGGCGCAAGCCUGAUCCAGCAAUGCCGCGUGAGGGAAGAAGGUCCUCUGGAUUGUAAACCUCUUUUGGCAGGAAACAAACCUGCGCUAUACGCGCAGCUGAGGGUACCUGCAGAAUAAGCACCGGCUAACUCCGUG
rnacentral:rRNA from 1 species